UAUCUGCAUCAUCAUGCGAAGUCAGCUAGGUAAUUAGUUAUGUCAUCCAGAACAAUGCAUAAUAUAUAUUGCAUACUAUUUCUAGCAAUAGGUCCACUCGAUGUAUGCGGAUGUCCAGUUCUGCUGAUAUGGAGUAGCUAAUAGUUUUAGGAAAGAAUAAAGGAAACAAAAAUCUGGCCACAAGAAAGGAAAAAACAAUAGUAGUCAUUUUCUUUUGAAGUUUAUAUUUGACAAUUUUCCAUCUUGUAAUGUCAAAAAAUUCUUCAAAAAGGAAUAAUUGUUUGCAUGGAUAUUAGACAUGACUCAUGUUGUCAAAUAACUUUUCAGCAUAGUAUGAAGGAUUGGACUUAAGACAAGUCAGUUUGAAAUCAAUACUCACACUUAUGUCCCUGGGCCUCUAGUUAGAACUACAUAUAAUUGUAUAUGCAUACUCUUUAAUUAGUAAAAGCUACUUCAGCACAAAAAAAUUCAGUAGACGCGCAAACCGUUCACGCUAUGCCUCCCGUAUAAAUAACUUACACAUGAGACUUUUCUACAUAUCUCAACAAUCAAUUAAAAAUAUAGAGUCAUUUUAGCUUAGCUAAACAGCACAGCAUCUAACUCACCAGUCACUAAUGAAAAGCUACACUUAUGCAACAUACACUAUACCAUGUAAAAGCUGAGAGUCAUGGUGGUAGGCUAAAUACCCAGUUUUAGUGGUGAAUCCUUGAAUCCUAUUAUCACACUAAACUUAAAUGAAUGUCAGAUCAGCUGGCAACUGUAGGUCACACUUGCAGUAGAUAUAAAGGAUGCAAGCAGAGAAAUAACAAAUUCAGCACCAGGAAGUCUGCAUCAUCAAUGGAGAUAAACAAGAUGAAGAGUUCAGCACUAUAUUAGAAUUUCAAAACCUUGAUAGAGCAACCCACAGGCAUGCAAAUUCACUGUUCAACCAUAACAGUUUCAAGUUGAAUAACAAACACACAGGCACAUCACAAACACACAGCAUUUUCUUCCUUCCUUCGACGAUGGCUAAUGGUUGAGCAUUUCCCACUACCACGACACUUGCUCCCCCAAAAGCAUUUCACAUGGUCUCAAGUAAUCUCCCAAAGCAUGAUGUAAUUGAUUUAGUGUUGUUGUGAAACAACUUGGCACAAUUUUGAGUGAAGCGGAUCAUAUAGUAUUUUACA